rnacentral:tRNA from 1 species
UCCCGGAUAGCUCAGUCGGUAGAGCAUGAGACUCUUAAUCUCAGCGUCGUGGGCUUGAGCCCCACAUUGGGCG